AAAGCUAACUCCAAACCUCUUGAAUACUAAAGUGAGAGCCAUACCGAAAGGCAAAUGUGCCUUGGAUCUAUUCAAGGUCUCUCUCAUAGCUUCAAUCAUCAAUGCCGGGAGGUUUAGGGGAGUUUGAGUAAUGACAUGAUACAUAAUGCAGAUGUCCCGACCAGAGAGGAGAUCAUGUCUACCAUUUCUAGGGAAGAAUAACUUAGUUACCAUUUGGUGUAGAAGUCUCAUCUCAACGGAAAGGAUCUUGGCCUCUAAUUUGUUUAGGCUUCCCGUGAAGGUUCUUCCUAGAAUUACAUUUAUUCCCUCCUCCUUGACUGGAAGUUCCAUGUUUGUGUAUCCCUCA
rnacentral:lncRNA from 1 species